GACGAACGCUGGCGGCGUGCCUAAUACAUGCAAGUCGAGCGAGCGGAACUAACAGAUUACUUCGGUAAUGACGUUAGGAAAGCGAGCGGCGGAUGGGUGAGUAACACGUGGGGAACCUGCCCCAUAGUCUGGGAUACCACUUGGAAACAGGUGCUAAUACCGGAUAAGAAAGCAGAUCGCAUGAUCAGCUUUUAAAAGGCGGCGUAAGCUGUCGCUAUGGGAUGGCCCCGCGGUGCAUUAGCUAGUUGGUAAGGUAAAGGCUUACCAAGGCGAUGAUGCAUAGCCGAGUUGAGAGACUGAUCGGCCACAUUGGGACUGAGACACGGCCCAAACUCCUACGGGAGGCAGCAGUAGGGAAUCUUCCACAAUGGACGCAAGUCUGAUGGAGCAACGCCGCGUGAGUGAAGAAGGUUUUCGGAUCGUAAAGCUCUGUUGUUGGUGAAGAAGGAUAGAGGUAGUAACUGGCCUUUAUUUGACGGUAAUCAACCAGAAAGUCACGGCUAACUACGUG
rnacentral:rRNA from 1 species